CGGAGGAAUUUGAUUGGUCACCAUCAGCGUCGAUCAAUAAAAACGCCCCGCCCUAUUUGUAGCUGGUCAGCAAAGGAUGGAUUGUUAUGUACCACUGUGUAACAGCUGUGUAUGGCCCAAAGAGCUGCACGACGCUCUGGAGCCACAGACCAUUGACUUUCCAGGAAUUUUAACAAACCAGCUGGGUUGCUGUGGACAUCAGGACUCAUAGCUUUGCACAGGUAG